rnacentral:rRNA from 1 species
CCUACGGGGGGCAGCAGUGAGGAAUAUUGGUCAAUGGGCGAGAGCCUGAACCAGCCAAGUCGCGUGAGGGAAGACGGUCCUAUGGAUUGUAAACCUCUUUUGUCGGGGAGCAAAAAGGCCUCGUGAGGCCACAAGCGAGAGUACCCGAAGAAAAAGCAUCGGCUAACUCCGUGCCAGCAGCCGCGGUAAUACGGAGGAUGCGAGCGUUAUCCGGAUUUAUUGGGUUUAAAGGGUGCGUAGGCGGACUGGAAAGUCAGCGGUAAAAUCGAGAGGCUCAACCUCUUUCCGCCGUUGAAACUGUCGGUCUUGAGUGGGCGAGAAGUAUGCGGAAUGCGUGGUGUAGCGGUGAAAUGCAUAGAUAUCACGCAGAACUCCGAUUGCGAAGGCAGCAUACCGGCGCCCGACUGACGCUGAGGCACGAAAGCGUGGGUA